CACAGCCGUGUCGAAUUCAGUGCCUGCCCCAUGCAUGGCAGGUACUGGCCCAGAGGCUGCCACAGAAACUGUGACUCAGGGGCCCUGGUCACCUCUGCUGGGCCUCAGGGAUAAAUCUGGUUACAGACACCA